GUUUAUGUCCCAGAAAAACGGAAGAGUGUCCACUUAAUCAUGAGUACCAAUAAUUAUAUAUUAAGUCACUGACAUCAUUUUGAUACUUAAUAUUUGAAAGCAUAUUUAACGGCAUACAGGAACAAGAAGAAUGAAGAUAACAAUUGUAUUAGGAUUUGUUCUCCUGGUUUUGGCAUCAGAUUUGGUAAUGGGACGGCCAGCGGAAAGACAAAAGUGAUUCCGUGGACGUUGAUGGUGACUUUGCCGAAGGAGUGGCACGCCAAACCAGAGAAGGCCGCAUUCAUCAUGUUCUUGUUUAUCGAUAUGUCUUUGGUGAUAAGGCAGGCGACAGAAUUGGUGAAGCUGCACAGAAUGCCAGAGAUGCAAUCAACAACCUAUAAAUGUUUACAAUCCAUAGACAACUUUCUGUAUUUUUAAUGUGACAUCAGUUUAAUUAAAUAUAAUGCAAUCAGA